UACGGAGGAUCCGAGCGUUAUCCGGAUUUAUUGGGUUUAAAGGGAGCGUAGGUGGAUUGUUAAGUCAGUUGUGAAAGUUUGCGGCUCAACCGUAAAAUUGCAGUUGAAACUGGCAGUCUUGAGUACAGCAGAGGUGGGCGGAAUUCGUGGUGUAGCGGUGAAAUGCUUAGAUAUCACGAAGAACUCCGAUUGCGAAGGCAGCUCACUGGACUGCAACUGACACUGAGGCUCGAAAGUGUGGGUAUCAAACAGG
rnacentral:rRNA from 1 species